rnacentral:rRNA from 1 species
ACGCACGCUGGCGGCGUGCUUAACACAUGCACGUCGAACGGAAAGGCCUGCUUUCCCUUGUGGAUUGCGGGUACUCGAGUGGCGAACGGGUGAGUAACACGUGAGUGAUCUGCCCCCAACUUGGGUAUAAGCCUGGGAAACUGGGUCUAAUUCCCGAUAGGACUGCAGGGUGGUGCCUGUGGUGGAAAACGAUUUUCUAGUGGUUGGGGAUGAGCUCGCGGCCUAUCAGCUUGUUGGUGGGGUAAUGGCCUACCAAGGCGGCGACGGGUAGCCGGCCUGAGAGGGUGGACGGCCACAUUGGGACUGAGAUACGGCCCAGACUCCUACGGGAGGCAGCAGUGGGGAAUAUUGCACAAUGGGCGGAAGCCUGAUGCAGCGACGCCGCGUGGGGGAUGACGGCCUUCGGGUUGUAAACUCCUUUCGACCGCGAGGAAGCCACCUGGUUGGAAGGGUGGUGACGGUAGUGGUAGAAGAAGCACCGGCUAACUACGUG